CUUCCCUACUAGGUCAUAUAUUUGUUUGACAUCUAAAUCACCACAAAUUUUGGUGAACUGAAAAUUAAUUUUAAAAUUUAAACUGAGUUGGAAUUUAAUUUUUUUUUUCAAAUCAAGUUUUGUUGUUGCAUAUAUUUUGCAAUUUUGCUUUCAGUACUUGGUGUUUAGUGAUUAAAAUAUCCUUCUUCGCCAGGUUUAUCUAUAUGUAGAUGAUGAGAAUAUAA